CGCCUACGGGGCGCAGCAGUGAGGAAUAUUGGUCAAUGGGAGGAAUCCUGAACCAGCCAUGCCGCGUGCAGGACGACGGCUCUACGAGUUGUAAACUGCUUUUGUACCGGGGUAAAAUGCCUUACGAGUAGGGUUUUGAAAGUACGGUACGAAUAAGGAUCGGCUAACUCCGUGCCAGCAGCCGCGGUAAUACGGAGGAUCCGAGCGUUAUCCGGAUUCAUUGGGUUUAAAGGGUGCGUAGACGGGACAGCAAGUUAGUUGUGAAAGCCCUCGGCUUAACUGAGGAACUGCAACUAAAACUAUUG
rnacentral:rRNA from 1 species